GUUAUCUAUUAAUUGUUUUAUUUAUAUCUGCUACACAGUCUAAAUCUAAGAAAUUAUGUUGUUCAGUUAUUGGUUUAGGUGUCCAUUUUUUAUUUAAUAUUUUAUCCCCAUAUAGUUUUUUCUCUAUCAUAUUGUUCAUAGUUUGCGUUAUAAUAUCUUGGAUUUAAGUUUUUUGGAUUUUUUACUCCUGAUGUAUUGGGUUUUUCAUCCAUGUC
rnacentral:lncRNA from 1 species